UAGGGAAUCUUCCACAAUGGACGAAAGUCUGAUGGAGCAACGCCGCGUGUGUGAUGAAGGCUUUCGGGUCGUAAAGCACUGUUGUAUGGGAAGAACAGCUAGAAUAGGAAAUGAUUUUAGUUUGACGGUACCAUACCAGAAAGGGACGGCUAAAUACGUGGCAG
rnacentral:rRNA from 1 species